UUUCAAAAUUUUAAAUUUUAGGGAAUUGGUUAUUCGAAAAAAGAAAAAACUAAUGAAAAUUUACAAAAUCAUGCCACAGAAGAAAGAUUCAGUGUUUAGAAAACCCAAAAAUACGUUGCUACGAAUUUGUAACACAUGCCAUAGAGGGUUAAAGUGCCUGGAGUAAAAAAACCAUUCUUGUUCUUUCUCUCUCCCUACCCCCUCCCUUGCAAAUACAGUGGAGCCGGUAUAUGACGAAGUUCACGGUUCCCAGAAAAACUUCGUUAUAUCCGGAACUUCGUUAAAAGCGGACUCUAUUGAGUGUAUAGGGAGGUUCUAGGGGAAUGAAAAUUACUUCGUUAUAUCCGAAACUUCGUUGAAAGCGGGUUCGUUAUAUACGGGCUCCACUGUAACUGGCAAAAAAGAAAUAAGUCGUAUAGUGAAAUCAAAUCACCAAUAAUAUGAAGCUUAAAUUGGUCAUUAAAUUUUAAAUCUGAAAAACUUGUCAUCUUUGUGAAAGCUUCAAUCCUUCUUAUUUUGUAAAAUGUAUUAGUUCAUUCCAGCUUCAACAUGAUCAUCUCUUUCUAUAAUCAUAUUUUGCAAUAACUAAGUGACAAAUAUGUUCAGCUAAGCAGUUCAUUUCUUGUAAAUUUUCCAGGAAGAAUGGAUGGAUGAAAUGAUGCAAGGGUUGGAAAACGAUGAAAACAAUGAUGAUGAAAGCAGCAGUAAUGAGAGUUCUGAGUUGCGCUCUGUUAAUAAACCAGUAACCCGUGAUAGAAAGAAAAAGGCAAGCCAGCGCCAGCGUAAGAAGGAACAUGAAAGGAAGCAAAGGGAAACCCGGAAAAAGAAAUUGGAAAAAAGGCGAUUGGCCGAUCUUGACAGGGUAAAAUCGUAUUCUAAACUGAUUGAUCAAGCUUUAGAGAUUGAGCAGGCCAAGCAAGUGAAACUUCAGAAGCGGAAAGCUAUCCGAGACAAGGUCCUCACGAAACGUCUCAGUAAGAAUAAAUUUGUGGCACCAGCCCCUGAAUUCAGUCAGAGGGAGGAUAUUACUGGGAAUUUGCGGACUAUCCUCCUGUGGGCAAUAUUGCUGCCCAGGUACUUUCCAAUCUGCAAAAACGCAACAUGAUUGAAGUAACACAGAGACAACUGAA
rnacentral:lncRNA from 1 species